rnacentral:rRNA from 1 species
AACGCGUUAAAUCGACCGCCUGGGGAGUACGGCCGCAAGGUUAAAACUCAAAUGAAUUGACGGGGGCCCGCACAAGCGGUGGAGCAUGUGGUUUAAUUCGAUGCAACGCGAAGAACCUUACCUGGUCUUGACAUCCACAGAACUUAGCAGAGAUGCUUUGGUGCCUUCGGGAACUGUGAGACAGGUGCUGCAUGGCUGUCGUCAGCUCGUGUUGUGAAAUGUUGGGUUAAGUCCCGCAACGAGCGCAACCCUUAUCCUUUGUUGCCAGCGGUCCGGCCGGGAACUCAAAGG